rnacentral:rRNA from 1 species
GACGAACGCUGGCGGCGUGCUUAACACAUGCAAGUCGAACGAACAGCGAUGGAAGCUUGCUUCUAUCAAUCUUCGUGGCGAACGGGUGAGUAACGCGUAAUCAACCUGCCCUUCAGAGGGGGACAACAGUUGGAACCGACUGCUAAUACCGCAUUCGAUCUAAUCUCGGCAUCGAGGAUAGAUGAAAGGUGUCCUCUACAUGUAAGCUAUCAUUGAAGGAGGGGAUUGCGGCUGAUUAGGUAGGUGGUGGGGUAAGCGCCCACCAAGGCGAGGAUCAGUAGGCCGUCUGGGAAGAGGGACGGCCACAUUGGGACUGAGACACGGGCCAGACUCCUAAGGGGAGCAGCAAGGAGGAAUCUUCCGGAAUGGAGGAAAGUCUGACGGGGCAACGCCGGGGGGGGGAUGGCAGCCCUCGGGUUGUAAAGAUCUGUUUAUCGGGACGAAAGGACUUCUUGCGAAUAGAGAGAAGGAUUGACGGUACCGGAAUAGAAAGCCACGGCUAACUACGUG